rfam:Salmo salar isolate Sally breed double haploid chromosome ssa03, whole genome shotgun sequence.
UGCAUUCACUACUGUAAAUCGCUUUGGGUAAGAGCGUCUACUAAAUGACUAAAA